AAUGAAUAUUCACAAAAAUAUUUUCGAAAAUGUGCAAAACCAGCUCCACAUUAACUUUACAUGAAAAACAAUAAAUCCACGCACCUUUGUUUGCAUAUCUUGGUUCCUUUCCUUUUUAUUUACCUCUGACUGGGUCAAAACACAAAGGUGACCAACAAACCAAUCAGUGC